GGGCUCGUGGUUUAGUGGUAUAAUACUCCCUUAGCAUCUAGAGCGUCUCGCAGCUGCAUUGCAGCCUACAAGACAUCGAAAUUCUGACUGGGAGUGGUCCGGGGUUCGAUUCCCCGCGAGUCCA